UCUCCGUAGGUGAACCUGCGGAGGGAUCAUUACAGAGUUCAUGCCCUACCGGGUAGAUCUCCCACCCUAUGUUAUUAUUACUUUGUUGCUUUGGCGGGCCGUUAGGCUCCGGCCCGACUACCGCCCCCGGCUGGUAAGCGCCCGCCAAAGGACCCAAAACCCUGAAUAUUAGUGUCGUCUGAGUACUAUAUAAUAGUUAAAACUUUCAACAACGGAUCUCUUGGUUCUG
rnacentral:misc_RNA from 1 species